CCGACUUUAGCUCAGUUGGAAGAGCAUCAGACUGUAAUCGGUAAAGUCGCAAAGUACCUGAGGGUCACUGGUUUGAUCCCAGUAAGUUGGA